AGUGAACGCUGGCGGUAGGCCUAACACAUGCAAGUCGAACGGCAGCACAGUAAGAGCUUGCUCUUACGGGUGGCGAGUGGCGGACGGGUGAGGAAUACAUCGGAAUCUACUUUUUCGUGGGGGAUAACGUAGGGAAACUUACGCUAAUACCGCAUACGACCUACGGGUGAAAGCAGGGGAUCUUCGGACCUUGCGCGAUCGAAUGAGCCGAUGUCGGAUUAGCGAGUUGGCGGGGUAAAGGCCCACCAAGGCGACGAUCCGUAGCUGGUCUGAGAGGAUGAUCAGCCACACUGGAACUGAGACACGGUCCAGACUGCUACGGGAGGCAGCAGUGGGGAAUAUUGGACAAUGGGCGCAAGCCUGAUCCAGCCAUACCGCGUGGGUGAAGAAGGCCUUCGGGUUGUAAAGCCCUUUUGUUGGGAAAGAAAAGCAGCAGGUUAAUACCCCGCUGUUCUGACGGUACCCAAAGAAUAAGCACCGGCUAACUUCGUG
rnacentral:rRNA from 1 species